rnacentral:rRNA from 1 species
CAGUAGCCGCGGGAAUACGUAGGGUGCAAGCGUUAAUCGGAAUUACUGGGCGUAAAGCGUGCGCAGGCGGUUAUAUAAGACAGAUGUGAAAUCCCCGGGCUCAACCUGGGAACUGCAUUUGUGACUGUAUAGCUAUAGUACGGCAGAGGGGGAUGGAAUUCCGCGUGUAGCAGUGAAAUGCGUAGAUAUGCGGAGGAACACCGAUGGCGAAGGCAAUCCCCUGGGCCUGUACUGACGCUCAUGCACGAAAGCGUGGGGAGCAAACAGGAUUAGAUACCCCGGUAGUCCCUGUCUCUUAUAC